AAACUUAAGUUUAAUCCUUAAUUUUGUAUUGUAACUAUUUUUCAUAAAAGCAACUUUAAAUAUCUUGCACAGUUUUCGGGGCACUUGGCUGGCUCAAUAGAGCAUAUGGCUCUUGAUCUCAGGGCCUGAGUUUUAGCCCCACUUUGGGGGUAGAGUUCACCUAAAAAAAAUAAAAAAUCUUACAAAAUUUUCACGGCAAUCAUAGACACAGGGUUUAUAUAAAUUACUACAUAAACAUCAACUUGUAAAAUAUUGAAAAAUUGGAUUUUUCAUAAAAUGCAUCAUUUACCAUUGACUGCUUUCAGAGAGACAUUUUCAGGUGGUAUAUUUUGAUUCCAAGCAAAAUACUGCUUGCUACUAAAAUGUGCCAGGCCCCGGAAUACAGACAACAAAAUUGUGUUUGAUCUUUGGUCUCGAAACGUUUGUUUUGUCUUGGAUCUAGAACUUAGUGCCCCAGACAGAUCUCAUGUGAAAUCCCCUCAGUAUAAAGCCAUGAAUGUGUACGGCAGGUUUGAAGGUGGCAUGAAAUAAGUUUGGGGAGCCUACUUCCCUAACCCCAGCCGUAUUUAUCCAGACCAUCUAUUGAGAAAUCUCCUAUGAAGUCUGGAGUUUGAAGACAGUCCCUUUAGGUGACUUACUCCUUAUUUCAAUCUCUAUGUAAUUAGGGUGUUUAAAAGCAUGUUAUUCUCUUAGGGUCCACUACAGUCAUUUCUUUAUUCAAGGAAGAGCUCCCCUGCAGCUCAACUCUUCACUAAUUCCAAGAAAUCCUUUCAGUGACGAUAACAUCAUAUAAUACAUUUUUCUGGUUAAAACUUUAGAAGGCACUUACCUAAUACAUCCUAUCAGUUUUUGUUCACGGAAUUAUACGCUGAGGUUUUCCAAAGCAGAGAAUUUGGUUUCUUAAAUGUAUCUUCAGCACAUGAAACUGUAUACUGCAGGGAUAUCUAUUCCUGGAAAAAUCCCCGGAACUGGUUGACAUAUUAAUAUAUUUUACGUUAUUAGUUUCAGUUUUCGAAGAUUGUAUAUGGGAUGUUUCUUCCAUGGAAAGGUGUGUGUGUAAUAAGUUGUUUCAGCAGUUCAGUGUGAAUGUCCAAAAAGUCUUUUAAAGUCUGACUUACUCAGCUAAGAUGGGUUUAUUAUGUGUAAUAGACUUCUAUCCUAAUUACUUUUCUAAAGAAAAGAUCUUUUGAAGUACUCCAUUCCAAGGCCCAUCAAAAGACUAAGAAAUAAGGCGUUUCUUGUUUCUUGUAAAGCCCACUAUGAUGUGUACUAAUUUUCGGUGCUCUUACGCCACAAGAUUAUAAUUAGUUUUUAUACAUGUUAAAGAGAAAAAUAAAAGAUUCACAUCUGAGACACUUCCAAAUUCAUUUCGCUUCCUUUUAUUCAACUGUAUGUGAUUAUCAGGAAAGUAGUUUUUAAGACAUUUAAGAAGUACUAAAGGGAAAAGGAAAUCUUUUUAGGACAUUCAGAAUCCAGUUAAGUUCACCAUUUCUUUAGUUGAGGUCAGAGAUGGGGAGAAUUUCAGAAGGUAGUGAAGCCAAAGUUGGAUCCUUACAUAAUUCUGUUAUCAUCUUAGUCCCUCUGUUCCUCCAAGCCGUUGAUAUUAAGCAUAGUUUUAUCAUAAUCACAUACGUGGAUGUCAGAUUGUUGACAGUCAAAAAAUAGAAAUUUUUUUCUAUCACAUUCUCCUACCAUGUCCAUGGUCUUCCUUGAAUUACCUUCCAGUGUUUACUGGAAUUCACCUACCGUUUAUGUCUAGCUUAACUUUUUCUGACUUCACCAAUUGCUGCUAGGAACGUGGCUGGUCACUCAGCAACGUAACCCAAAUCACAGGGGAAGACCUUGAAAUAAUCUGGAGACUGAUCUUCUCUGAAUACACUCAAUCUAAAGAAGUGCCAGGGAGCUGCAUCUGCUUGCUGAAAUUUUUGUCAGCUUUUUUCAUUGUGGACACUACCACUGGAGAGAAAAGAGCUCAGUAACCCAACAGGAAAUGAAGACGAGUGUGCAAGAAUUGAUUUGUGGUCAUCUGAAUGAAUCUCACACCUCCAAGGCUGGCUGGACUUACCAAACAUGAACUUGUCAGAAAAUCUGGACGAUGCCACAACAGUCAGAAGACCUAGAGGAGUACAGUGUUGCUGUGACUCAGUGGUGUAUAAUGCAGACCACCUACCAGUUGGGGAAGGAAUCAAUUGUUACAGGAGCAAAGGGAUCCCUUCCUUAUUUUAAUUGUUGUUGCAGUGAAGAUGGGUGUUUGGACUUUUAGAAGCCAGGAGACACCACCUAAAUUACAAGAUAAAAACCAAGGAAUCAAUGCACACUGGAAAAAGGAAUGAACUUGAAGAUUGAAUGUUGAAUACUUGCUGAAUGCUCCCAUUGAGAUUUUUCCUACAUAAACUUGAGUAACAUCUUAGGACAAUUCUCUGGAGAAACAUUGAUCCCUGGGUGGAGUGUCCUACCAUUGGCCAAUCUGAAGAGUUACAUCUGGAUCUGACUGCUCUAUUCCUCCAGGAAUAUUUUUAGGCUAGCCUCUGUCUGAUUCCUAAGCAAUUGUAAUCAUUAACUGACCCAGUAAUUUCUCAAAUAUCAGAUGAACAGAUACAAUUCUUACCUAGAUCUAAUUUUUAUCCCUAUUAAAGACACAAGAGUGUUCUAAUAUUUUGACAUUGUAACUUACGUUUUCUUUUUAGUUAGUGAUAGCGGUUUCUAUUUUAAAGCUGUUUGGCUGUUCAACGUAGUAAUUAGAUUAUUCAGUAUAACGUAAUCACAUAGCAAGGUGUGGUAAACAGUUUUAGUAACUGUGUAAACAUUUUUCUUUAUCAUAUUUAAGAAUAAUUGCAGGACUUGAAAUCAAAUGCUCAUCAGGGUAAGGGUCACCUCUAAUUAGCUAAUUCAUAGUUUUAGUUUGCUUCACAGUAUUCUGUAUUUUAACAUUGGAAUUACGUUACAGAAUAUGGUCUUAAUUUUAAGGGUUUUAAUUCAGGUUUGAUCUGACAGCCUUUUCUUUUUGUGCUUACUUUGCUAAUUCUCUUUAGUAAUAUAUACCAAAUAGAAUAUUCCUUGUGAUGAAGUUCAUAUUCAGAAAGCUUCAUAAAAUUUUUCAUUUUGGCAUUUACUUUAUGAAUUUAGUACUUGGGCAGGCAACAGAGGUUUAUUUUGUGUCUACUCUGUUAGUUGGCGUAGAGAGCGAAAGAAUGUGUACAGCACUGUCCUCAGAGUGUUAGCACAAUAUGUUUUUAAACAAAUUAAGAUGACUUUCAGCCCUCAAAUGAACAAAUUCCUAGUUAACAAGUGAGCCCAUAUUUCCCCAAAAAUGAUACAUAAAUGUUUGGUGUUACCUUUGUGGGGGGGGGGUGUGGGGAGGCAUAGAUUUUAGAAGCAUAUUAUUUGUCCCACAGAGCCCAUUGGAAAUGAUCCAGCGAAUGUUUGAGAAGCACAAAGAAGGGAGAAGUUUCUGAUGAAUAAAAACAUGGUUUCCAUGCUGAAUUUAGAAGUGAGAGAUCAGAGUGGGCUAGAAAGAGCUAUAAUGAGGCCAGCUAUAGGGGUUUGGAAGGGGAUGAACCAAGGGGCAUGGUCACCUCAAGGGAAGGCUUUUGGUGAGAAGAGGUGGUACUGAUGGGGUUUUCGUGUUUUGGCUGAGGAAUGGGCAUACUUCCUUUCUGCCUUGAGCCAUAGAUAAAGCUUGUAGGUAAUAGAAAUAAGCAUUUGCUCUAGUGGUCUUUUGCCACAGAUGGAACAUGCAGCUAGUACUACCCGAGGCUGGUUUCUAUUCAAACCUGCCUAUGUGUGGAAGUCUUAAGAGUCUAAUUGUGGCAGAGGGAGGUAGUGUUUACAGGGUGGGAAGGCUUGCAAAGUAAAUAAAGCCAAAACAAAAAAGUCUCACUUGUUUAGGUUUUCAAAUCCAGGGCAAAACUUUUUUAAUGUAUUAUUGGUGGAAGUACAAUGUUUUUAAAGGUUUAAGGUUUCUGUGAUAAAAAUCAUACUGACCAGGUUUGUGUUCUAUGGAAUAACUCAAUUAUGCCUUGAAUACAUUUAUUAUUAAGGCUUAUUGCUCCUUAUUUGGAUCAGAAAUAAUGUGCAGAAAAGUUCCCGCAUAUAGUAUGAUUAAGACUAUAGUUUGUAAUUUUUAAGGCAAAACCAUCUUAUUUUUCAUUCGUUUGGUAAAUAUUUGAACACAUUCUAUGCUCUAGGUACUAGAAGUCUAGAAAUAAAUAAAACAGGCUCAUUGGAAUUCCCAGUAAUUCUCGGGCCUGAAAAGUGUAUGCUGACUGGGAAGGCUUUGAUUCACUGUGUACCGCUCCUACGUAAAGGCACCUAGACCAAACAGAAAAGUUUUUGUAUGUAGUUUUAAGAUGAGCUGUGAUUUUCAAAUAGAUGAAAAUAUUCUGAGUCACCAUUCUAAUACAGUAAUUAUUGGCCCAGUUCCACCCAA